rnacentral:rRNA from 1 species
UACGAAGGGGGCUAGCGUUGCUCGGAAUUAUUGGGCGUAAAGCGCACGUAGGCGGCAUUGCAAGUCCCAUGUGAAAGCCCACGGCUUAACCGUGGAAGUGCAUGGGAAACUGCAGUGCUUGAGUACUUAAGAGGAUCGCGGAAUUCCCGGUGUAGAGGUGAAAUUCGUAGAUAUCGGGAGGAACACCAGUGGCGAAGGCGGCGAUCUGGGAAGAUACUGACGCUGAGGUGCGAAAGCGUGGGGAGCAAACAGG